rnacentral:rRNA from 1 species
AUUGAACGCUGGCGGCAUGCCUUACACAUGCAAGUCGAACGGCAGCACGGGAGCAAUCCUGGUGGCGAGUGGCGAACGGGUGAGUAAAGUAUCGGAACGUGCCCAGUCGUGGGGGAUAACGUAGCGAAAGUUACGAUAAUACCGCAUACGAUCUAUGGAUGAAAGCGGGGGAUCGCAAGACCCGGCGCGGUUGGAGCGGCAGCUAUCAGAUGAGGUAGUUGGGGGGGUAAAGGCUCACCAAGCCGUCGAUCUGUAGCUGGUCGGAGAGGACGACCAGCCACACUGGGACUGAGACACGGCCCAGACUCCUACGGGAGGCAGCAGUGGGGAAUUUUGGACAAUGGGCGAAAGCCUGAUCCAGCCAUGCCGCGUGCAGGAUGAAGGCCUUCGGGUUGUAAACUGCUUUUGUACGGAACGAAAAGGUUUGGCCUAAUAAGCUGAGCUCAUGACGGUACCGUAAGAAUAAGCACCGGCUAACUACGUGCCAGCCGCCGCCGUAA